GGAGGGUAUAAAUAUGCCAUGUGGCCGACGCCAUGUGUGUCUUCAGAUCUACUUCUGACCCCAGAUGCAGCCUCGCAGGGAAUCAUGAGCCGGGAAAAACUGUGGAUCUAUCCAGACAUAGGGUGUGCAACAAGGACUUUUAAGCCAGCAGUUAUAAUAUCUCUGCUAGAGCCUGCAUCGAGAACUGGGAGAUUCUAUGCAUGUGUGUAUGGUGAGUUUUCAUAUAGAAGAUAAAGUCUUUGCCCUGAAGAGGUCACGGUCUGCAAGCCAUGGGCAUGAUGCCUGAGGUACCAUAUCUAAAUAAUCUACUUGCUUAUUUUACAUUAAGAUAUGGAACUGUUAAAAUAACAUCGCAAAGCUCUGCAGCAGCUCCCAUACACAAGCUGGGAUAUGGUUUCCUCGUUGCAUGGCAGAAUUGGAUGCUAAUUUGAAGCGGAGUGAGUGGAUGGCAAAGGAAAAGCGAACACAGUUGAUAAGUCAGUGACGUGAUGGAAGGAUCCAGACUACAGCUACUAGGAAAGCUCAACAGGGUUUCUUUAAGUCUGUUCACUUGUGAGCUACCUGACUAGUAUUCAGUGAUCUGGCUGCCUAGCAGUGACUGUAGCAGAGGAAGAGUCAGCCUGGACUCCAACUGAAGAUUGCCUACAAGCAAGUGGACAGAAACUUCAGGCUCAGCAUAUGAUGCAGAUUUGAUAUCCGAGGCACAAACUGAGACUUUGAACCAAAUCUAAGCUCUUGGGACCUUUCAGUCUUUUCUUACUGUGUUUUUUGUGGAUUGAACUGUUCAGAUUUCACUUUUAGUUUUCUCUUUACUGAUGUUUAUUGUAAUUAUAGAUAUUAUUUGUGGGAUAUAAAAUAGCUGUGUACUGUUGUAAGCAUUAGAUUAUUUGUUUCUUCAUAAAAUUUAAUU